rnacentral:lncRNA from 1 species
CUCUGAAGUGAAAACCCAAGAAGGCAGGCUUGCUCUGUCUGUCUGUCUGUCCACCUGCCUGCCUGCCUGUCUCUGGUAGUUACUCCUGCUUUCGAGGCUCCUGCAGAAACAGCUAGCAGGCUGUGGGAUGAGUUCACCACUGAGAACUUCUUGGCCUGGGCUGGAGAAAGGGUCUCCUCCAAGGAAGAGACAGCCACAAACAACCAAGCUAGAAUAAUAGCUAAUCCAGUUUAAUUUCUGAGGUCUGCACCUCUGACUGCGACAUCUGACGGGGCUUUGUCCCCCCAACACUGCCAUCCGGAGGCAUCAGACCUUCACGUGAGUUUGGAUGAGGAUGAACUGCACAGCAUCGAUCAGACGGAAUGUGGAAUUAGAGUGGAAAGCAAUAAUUCUGAGAAAAAGUGAGAACGCUUCGUGUGAGCAUGCAGCAGGUGAGGUACAGCGUGUGUGCAGAGCACUUGGCUGUGCUGAACUCACUGCUUAAGCCAGGCCUCGUGGAACUGUGGCUCCCGCAAGACCUGGAGGCCGAGGGAGCUGGGUUGGAAGCCAAACCCCACUUCACUCUCCUGCAUGAGCCCGCAGGAGGUUGAACUUACAGCUCAUAGUUUGUAGAACUGGAGACAGCCGUGGAUCAAGCCGACUUGUGUGGUUGUUGGGGGCGGGAACCAGGUGACAGCGAUGAAAAUUGAUGUUGCCCUUUCUUUUCUUCGUUGCUUCAUAAUUCCCAAUACCGUAAAAAGAAGAAAAAAAAAUUCUGCAUAAAAAGAAAUGCGUACAA